AGUAGUUCCUCUUCACACGCACAUACACAAUUAAAAGCCCUAACCUUUAUCCCCUUCCAAACGGCGACAAUAGGUUAGAAGCGUUCAAUCGCGCACACUCCUCCACGCACGGCGACGGCGCAGUGCUCUUCUCGACGAGCAAUGGUGCAGUGCUCUCCACAAUCCCUAACAUAGCCACUGCAACAACGCACCCUUUCUCCCCUUCCUAACGGCGACAUCAGCGUUCAAUCGCGGUGCACUCCUCCACGUACGGCGACGGCGCGGUGCUAUUCUCGACGGGUGAUGGCGGGGUACUCUCCACAAGCCCUAACAUAGCCACUGGAACAACACACAGACCCUUUCUCCCCUUCCUAACGGCGACAGCAAUGCUCAAUCAUGGUGCUCUCCUUGAUGAGCGCGGUGCUCAAUCGCAAGAAACCCUUCUUCCUUCUCUUCUCCUUCUCGUUCUUCCUCUGUUCCUCUCUUUCCAGGCAAUUAUAAACUGGACAAUAAUGGAUCUUUCUACAUUAAAAACUUUAGCAAGACUUCAAUGUUGGUGAAUAACAAAGAAGUGCAGACUGGUCAGUCUCAAAAACUACACUCUAAUUGUUUGAUCGAGCUGCCAUUACUACAGAAGCUUCUGCUAAGGUGAUUGAUGGGAAGUCAGUGGCAAAGCAAAUCAGAUCUGAGAUAACAGCAGAAGUUUGUAGGAUGAGAUGCUAUCGGAGUGACUCCUGGGUUGGAGAUAGGAAAGACUCUGCAACUUAUUUGCACAAGAAGGAGGCUUGUGAAUCUAUGGGAAUCAUUUCUUUUGAAGCUAAUUUGCCCAAGGAUUCCACAGAACAACAAGUGUGAUCCUUCGGUUCAUGGCGUUCUUUACCCUCUGUGACACAACCAACAAAAUUAGGACCUAUAACGUUGCCUUGUGUGCCAAGUUUCACAAUAUACCUUUUUAUGUGGCUGCACUGCUGACUUCAAUUGAUCUGUCACUUUCUUUCGGAGAAGAAAUCGUAAUCGAUGAGAGAUCUCCAAAGGAGUUGUUGAACACGCGAGGAGGACUUGGAGAGCAAGUUGCUGCCUUGGGAUAAAUGUUAAAGAAAUUUUGUUCAUAUUGAGAAAAACAUGUAUUUUAUUUACUUAUGUGUAUUAUUUAUUUGACUUGGUAACUUAGCAAGUAUGUUAAUUGACACUUGGAACACCUUUCUACAUACAUGCAAUAUAUAUAUUAUUAGCUUAUUCUA